UACAGAGGUGGCAAGCGUUGUUCGGAAUUACUGGGCGUAAAGGGCGCGUAGGCGGUCUUUCAAGUCCCGUGUGAAAUCCCUCGGCUCAACUGAGGAACUGCACGGGAAACUGUUUGGCUUGAGUUCGGGAGAGGGAAGCGGAAUUCCGGGUGUAGCGGUGAAAUGCGUAGAUAUCAGGAGGAACACCGGUGGCGAAGGCGGAUCUCUGGGCCUUACCUGACGCUCAGGCGCGAAAGCUAGGGGAGCGAACAGG
rnacentral:rRNA from 1 species